GAUGAACGCUGGCGGCGUGCCUAAUACAUGCCAGUCGAGCGAACAGACGAGGAGCUUGCUCCUCUGACGUUAGCGGCGGACGGGUGAGUAACACGUGGAUAACCUACCUAUAAGACUGGGAUAACUUCGGGAAACGGGAGCUAAUACCGGAUAAUAUAUUGAACCGCAUGGUUCAAUAGUGAAAGACGGUUUUGCUGUCACUUAUAGAUGGAUCCGCGCCGCAUUAGCUAGUUGGUAAGGUAACGGCUUACCAAGGCGACGAUGCGUAGCCGACCUGAGAGGGUGAUCGGCCACACUGGAACUGAGACACGGUCCAGACUCCUACGGGAGGCAGCAGUAGGGAAUCUUCCGCAAUGAGCGAAAGCCUGACGGAGCAACGCCGCGUGAGUGAUGAAGGUCUUCGGAUCGUAAAACUCUGUUAUUAGGGAAGAACAAAUGUGUAAGUAACUAUGCACGUCUUGACGGUACCUAAUCAGAAAGCCACGGCUAACUACGU
rnacentral:rRNA from 1 species